rnacentral:rRNA from 1 species
UACGUAGGUGGCAAGCGUUGUCCGGAUUUAUUGGGUUUAAAGGGUGCGUAGGCGGCCUAUUAAGUCAGUGGUGAAAGCCUGCAGCUUAACUGCAGAACUGCCAUUGAUACUGAUGGGCUUGAGUACAGUUGAGGUUGGCGGAAUGUGUCAUGUAGCGGUGAAAUGCUUAGAUAUGACACAGAACACCGAUUGCGAAGGCAGCUAGCUAAACUGUAACUGACGCUGAGGCACGAAAGCGUGGGUAGCAAACAGGAUUAGAAACCCGGUAGU